rnacentral:rRNA from 1 species
GACGAACGCUGGCGGCGUGCUUAACACAUGCAAGUCGAGCGGUAAGGCCCUUUCGGGGGUACACGAGCGGCGAACGGGUGAGUAACACGUGGGUGACCUGCCCUCAGCUCUGGGAUAAGCCUGGGAAACCGGGCCUAAUACUGGAUAUGACUCCAUGACGCAUGUUGUGGGGUGGAAAGCCUUGUGCGGCUGAGGAUGGGCCCGCGGCCUAUCAGCUUGUUGGUGGGGUGANGGCCUACCAAGGCGACGACGGGUAGCCGGCCUGAGAGGGCGACCGGCCACACUGGGACUGAGACACGGCCCAGACUCCUACGGGAGGCAGCAGUGGGGAAUCUUGCGCAAUGGGCGAAAGCCUGACGCAGCGACGCCGCGUGAGGGAUGACGGCCUGG